UGCUGUGAGUUUUGGGUGAUCUUACAAUUCCCAUUUUGCUGCUGAGAAACUAAGCACAAGCUUACUGAAAGUACCUUCUGUUGUUUAUUGUAUUUUCUGAGGCACUGAGGCCCUAGGCCACAGAGCACAGAAUUAACUCCAGGCAUUUUCACCCACAGCCAGGAGCAUUCCUCCUCACUGCUGUGUAUCCACUCCACAGCCACUGCUGACUAUCCACCCGUGCCUGAUCUCUGGAAAACUGGGAAGCCACUUUGGAAAUCUGACCUUGAAACAUCCAAUGCAUCCUUGUGGGCACAUUUCAGGAGAAAUCCAGAGGAGGAUGAGAGGUGGGUAAGGAGAAGUCACAAUGGUGUGGGACUUCUGCUGGUGCAAAGAGAGUGUGUCAAUAAUGCU
rnacentral:lncRNA from 1 species